AGCAGCCGCGGUAAUUCCAGCUCCAAUAGCGUAUAUUAAAGUUGUUGCAGUUAAAAAGCUCGUAGUUGAAUUUCGGGGUCAGUAGGUUGGUCGUGCCACCGGUACGUACUGGUCUCACUGAUUCCUCCUUCCUGAUGAGCUGUAAUGCCAUUAAUUUGGUGUUGCAGGGAAUCUGGACUGCUACUUUGAAAAAAUUAGAGUGUUUAAAGCAGGCUAACGCUUGAAUACAUUAGCAUGGAAUAAUGAAAUAGGACGUUCGAUCCUAUUUUGUUGGUUUCUAGGAUUGACGUAAUGAUUAAUAGGGAUAGUUGGGGGCAUUAGUAUUCAAUUGUCAGAGGUGAAAUUCUUGGAUUUAUUGAAGACUAACUACUGCGAAAGCAUUUGCCAAGGAUGUUUUCAUUAAUCAAGAACGAAAGUUAGGGGAUCGAAGACGAUCAGAUACCGUCGUAGUCUUAACCAUAAACUAUGCCGACUAGGGAUCGGAUGAUGUUAAUUUUUUAAUGACUCAUUCGGCGCCUUACG
rnacentral:rRNA from 1 species